AUGAACGCUGGCGGCGUGCCUAAUACAUGCAAGUCGAGCGAACAGACGAGGAGCUUGCUCCUCUGACGUUAGCGGCGGACGGGUGAGUAACACGUGGAUAACCUACCUAUAAGACUGGGAUAACUUCGGGAAACCGGAGCUAAUACCGGAUAAUAUAUUGAACCGCAUGGUUCAAUAGUGAAAGACGGUUUUGCUGUCACUUAUAGAUGGAUCCGCGCCGCAUUAGCUAGUUGGUAAGGUAACGGCUUACCAAGGCAACGAUGCGUAGCCGACCUGAGAGGGUGGUCGGCCACACUGGAACGGUGACACGGCCCAGACGCCUACGGGCGCGAGCAGUAGGGAAUCGUCCGCCAUGGGCGGAAGCCUGACGGAGCAGCGCCGCGUGAGGGAUGAGGGUCUUCGGAUCGUGAAAGUCUGUUAUUGGGGAAGAACAAAUGUGUAAGUAGCUAGACGCGUCUUGACGGUACCUAGUCAGAAAGCCACGGCUAACUUCGUG
rnacentral:rRNA from 1 species